UACGUAGGUGGCAAGCGUUGUCCGGAUUUAUUGGGUUUAAAGGGUGCGUAGGCGGUCCUAUAAGUCAGUGGUGAAAUACGGCAGCUCAACUGUCGAGGUGCCAUUGAUACUGUAGGACUAGAGUACUGUUGAGGUAGGCGGAAUGGACGGUGUAGCGGUGAAAUGCUUAGAUAUGACAUAGAACACCAAUUGCGAAGGCAGCUGGCUACACAAAUAUUGACACUGAGGCACGAAAGCGUGGGGAUCAAACAGG
rnacentral:rRNA from 1 species